AUUGAACGCUGGCGGCAUGCCUUACACAUGCAAGUCGAACGGCAGCACGGGUGCUUGCACCUGGUGGCGAGUGGCGAACGGGUGAGUAAUACAUCGGAACAUGUCCUGCAGUGGGGGAUAGCCCGGCGAAAGCCGGAUUAAUACCGCAUACGAUCUACGGAUGAAAGCGGGGGACCUUCGGGCCUCGCGCUAUAGGGUUGGCCGAUGGCUGAUUAGCUAGUUGGUGGGGUAAAGGCCUACCAAGGCGACGAUCAGUAGCUGGUCUGAGAGGACGACCAGCCACACUGGGACUGAGACACGGCCCAGACUCCUACGGGAGGCAGCAGUGGGGAAUUGUAGACAAUGGGCGAAAGCCUGAUCCAGCAAUGCCGCGUGUGUGAAGAAGGCCUUCGGGUUGUAAAGCACUUUUGUCCGGAAAGAAAUCCUUGGCCCUAAUACGGUCGGGGGAUGACGGUACCGGAAGAAUAAGCACCGGCUAACUACGUG
rnacentral:rRNA from 1 species